rnacentral:rRNA from 1 species
AUACAGAGGGUGCGAGCGUUAAUCGGAAUUACUGGGCGUAAAGCGCGCGUAGGCGGCUUAUUAAGUAAGAUGUGAAAUCCCCGGGCUCAACCUGGGAACUGCAUCUGAUACUGGUAAGCUAGAGUUUUGGAGAGGGAAGUAGAAUUUCAGGUGUAGCGGUGAAAUGCAUAGAGAUCUGAAGGAAUACCAGUGGCGAAGGCGACUUCCUGGCCAAAAACUGACGCUGAGGUGCGAAAGCGUGGGUAGCAAACGGGAUUAGAUACCCCGGUAGUCC